GUGGGGAAUUUUGGACAAUGGGCGCAAGCCUGAUCCAGCAAUGCCGCGUGCAGGAAGAAGGCCUUCGGGUUGUAAACUGCUUUUGUACGGAACGAAACGGUCCGGGUUAAUACCCUGGGCUAAUGACGGUACCGUAAGAAUAAGCACCGGCUAACUACGUGCCAGCAGCCGCGGUAAUACGUAGGGUGCAAGCGUUAAUCGGAAUUACUGGGCGUAAAGCGUGCGCAGGCGGUUUUGUAAGACAGGCGUGAAAUCCCCGGGCUCAACCUGGGAAUUGCGCUUGUGACUGCAGUGCUGGAGUGCGGCAGAGGGGGAUGGAAUUCCGCGUGUAGCAGUGAAAUGCGUAGAUAUGCGGAGGAACACCGAUGGCGAAGGCAAUCCCCUGGGCCUGCACUGACGCUCAUGCACGAAAGCGUGGGGAGCAAACAGGAUUAGAUACCCCUGUAGUCC
rnacentral:rRNA from 1 species